AAUAGAUACCCCGGGUAGUCCACGCCGUAAACGAUGAGUGCUAAGUGUUAGAGGGUUUCCGCCCUUUAGUGCUGCAGCUAACGCAUUAAGCACUCCGCCUGGGGAGUACGGUCGCAAGACUGAAACUCAAAGGAAUUGACGGGGGCCCGCACAAGCGGUGGAGCAUGUGGUUUAAUUCGAAGCAACGCGAAGAACCUUACCAGGUCUUGACAUCCCACUGACCGGUAUAGAGAUAUACCUUUCCCUUCGGGGACAGUGGUGACAGGUGGUGCAUGGUUGUCGUCAGCUCGUGUCGUGAGAUGUUGGGUUAAGUCCCGCAACGAGCGCAACCCUUGAUCUUAGUUGCCAGCAUUUAGUUGGGCACUCUAAGGUGACUGCCGGUGACAAACCGGAGGAAGGUGGGGAUGACGUCAAAUCAUCAUGCCCCUUAUGACCUGGGCUACACACGUGCUACAAUGGAUGGUACAAAGGGCUGCAAGACUGCGAAGUCAAGCCAAUCCCAUAAAACCAUUCUCAGUUCGGAUUGCAGG
rnacentral:rRNA from 1 species